rnacentral:rRNA from 1 species
AGAAUCAACGCUGGCGGCGUGCCUAACACAUGCAAGUCGCACGAGAAAGGGGUAGCAAUACCCUGAGUACAGUGGCGCACGGGUGAGUAACACGUGAAUAAUCUACCUCCGAGUGGGGAAUAAACUGAGAGAAAUCUUAGCUAAUACCGCAUAACACUUACGAGUCAAAGCAGCAAUGCGCUUGGAGAGGAGUUCGCGGCAGAUUAGUUAGUUGGCGGGGUAAUGGCCCACCAGGACGAUGAUCUGUA